UGAAGCUAAAGUCCAGGAUCCAUGCGCGAGCGAUAAUGACAGUGCCUGACUCGCAGCCUGCUCCAUAAUCUACGGCCUGUUUUAGCAGGUCGGGGGGCACUAGCUGAACCUUUGCAGCAAGAGGGUCUUAGAAUUAGGAGAAUGCAAAGCUGGAAGGAUAUAUUGCGCUCAGAGGGUUUCUGGCUUCCGUGGAGUUUUCAGAAGGUUUCCUCGUUGAUAAGAAGGUGCAGAGGAAAAGAGCCAUUUGAGCUAAACGACACCAGCGUCCCCUGGAGAUCGCUGUUGACCUCAAAGUAAACAGAGUGAAUCACUGACUAAGAAAGUCGUGCUUGUUGGAGCUCCUUCACCAGAAGAGAGAUGAGGGAAAGCCACUCAUGAGGCCUCUGAGGAUCUACUGAAGCCCACAAGCUUCAUCCCUGUGCUCUUGCCCAUUGGUCUUCACCUUGGCCCAGGGAGUACAGAGUCAGAAACCAGUGGAGACACACUAACGAUCUGGGCAGAGAGAGGACAAAGCACCACGUUGUUCUUGAGCAUUCUGAAUGGAAGUCUAAAGGAUGGCUAAGGCCAUGGGCCUCUGGUUGGUUGGUGCUGAAGUUCAGCUUUCCUUGGUCCCUGAGUGGCUUCUCACCCACAACAAAGGCAGGAAAGACCAAUGAGUAAUCCAUUAUGGUGGCUCUGGCUGCACCCAGGCUCCUGCAGACCUGCUGUGGAUGAGGCUGACUCUGAAGAACUGGGUCCAGCGUGAAUGGACCAGCCUCUCCCGGGUUACUUCUCUUGGUACUUUACCAUAAGAAACAGUCUUGGU